AUUACUCACACCCAAUAAGCGUGACGAAUUGCGGUGGCUCACCUUACCAUCGGUUGACGGGUUGAUGCUGGGGUUCCUUCAUGAGUUGUAGUCCUUCUUCUACUGCAUACUAACCCAGUGGCCGCACGUGUUGUGGCGGGGUACCUCCUUCAACGACUCUAUGCUGUUCCUCAACCAAAGGCAAAGCGUUCCUCGAGAAAAGUCUAAAAAGACGUGUAUUAACCUACGAUGUAAACUCUUCCUUUUAGGUCCACUUUCUUCUUUCUUCUUAACCUCCUGUCUAAUAUCAAUAUACAAAAAGUAGCGGCAAAUACAAAGAUCUAGACCAUAUAAACUUGUAUAAUUAUACCAAACGUUAUCCACACCCUGGUCUUAUAUACGCACCCUGUUCUAAACACACACUUAUACAAUUAUACCAAACACCGAAGUAAUCGGUACCUGUUUUCAAGGAUACAAAAAGGACAACGUGAUGUCUAAAGACCAAAAGCGAUCUUAUCUGC
rnacentral:rRNA from 1 species